rnacentral:rRNA from 1 species
GGAUUAAGAGCUUGCUCUUAUGAAGUUAGCGGCGGACGGGUGAGUAACACGUGGGUAACCUGCCCAUAAGACUGGGAUAACUCCGGGAAACCGGGGCUAAUACCGGAUAACAUUUUGAACUGCAUGGUUCGAAAUUGAAAGGCGGCUUCGGCUGUCACUUAUGGAUGGACCCGCGUCGCAUUAGCUAGUUGGUGAGGUAACGGCUCACCAAGGCAACGAUGCGUAGCCGACCUGAGAGGGUGAUCGGCCACACUGGGACUGAGACACGGCCCAGACUCCUACGGGAGGCAGCAGUAGGGAAUCUUCCGCAAUGGACGAAAGUCUGACGGAGCAACGCCGCGUGAGUGAUGAAGGCUUUCGGGUCGUAAAACUCUGUUGUUAGGGAAGAACAAGUGCUAGUUGAAUAAGCUGGCACCUUGACGGUACCUAACCAGAAAGCCACGGCUAACUACGUGCCAGCAGCCGCGGUAAUACGUAGGUGGCAAGCGUUAUCCGGAAUUAUUGGGCGUAAAGCGCGCGCAGGUGGUUUCUUAAGUCUGAUGUGAAAGCCCACGGCUCAACCGUGGAGGGUCAUUGGAAACUGGGAGACUUGAGUGCAGAAGAGGAAAGUGGAAUUCCAUGUGUAGCGGUGAAAUGCGUAGAGAUAUGGAGGAACACCAGUGGCGAAGGCGACUUUCUGGUCUGUAACUGACACUGAGGCGCGAAAGCG